GUCUACAUCCAUACCACCCUGAAUGUGCCUGAUAUCAGAAGCUAAGCAGGGCUGGGCCUGGUUACUACUUAGUACUUGGAUGGGAGAAAGUCUAUAAUUUUUGCCACUUGAGGUGGAGACU
rnacentral:rRNA from 1 species